rnacentral:rRNA from 1 species
GACGAACGCUGGCGGCGUGCUUAACACAUGCAAGUCGAGCGGAGAGAGGUAGCUUGCUACUGAUCUUAGCGGCGGACGGGUGAGUAAUGCUUAGGAAUCUGCCUAUUAGUGGGGGACAACAUUUCGAAAGGAAUGCUAAUACCGCAUACGUCCUACGGGAGAAAGCAGGGGAUCUUCGGACCUUGCGCUACUAGAUGAGCCCAAGUCGGAUUAGCUAGUUGGUGGGGUAAAGGCCUACCAAGGCGACGAUCUGUAGCGGGUCUGAGAGGAUGAUCCGCCACACUGGGACUGAGACACGGCCCAGACUCCUACGGGAGGCAGCAGUGGGGAAUAUUGGACAAUGGGCGCAAGCCUGAUCCAGCCAUGCCGCGUGUGUGAAGAAGGCCUUAUGGUUGUAAAGCACUUUAAGCGAGGAGGAGGCUACUUUAGUUAAUACCUAGAGAUAGUGGACGUUACUCGCAGAAUAAGCACCGGCUAACUCUGUGCCAGCCGCCGCAGUAA